UUAAAUUGAAGAGUUUGAUCAUGGCUCAGAUUGAACGCUGGCGGCAGGCCUAACACAUGCAAGUCGAACGGUAACAGGAAGCAGCUUGCUGCUUCGCUGACGAGUGGCGGACGGGUGAGUAAUGUCUGGGAAACUGCCUGAUGGAGGGGGAGUAACUACUGG
rnacentral:rRNA from 1 species